rfam:Picea glauca, whole genome shotgun sequence.
CCAAUGGUGUCUCUUGACACCACCAUUUUGUUUCUCAGAAAUUUCA